GUGGGGAAUUUUGGACAAUGGGCGCAAGCCUGAUCCAGCAAUGCCGCGUGCAGGAAGAAGGCCUUCGGGUUGUAAACUGCUUUUGUACGGAACGAAACGGUCCUGGUUAAUACCUGGGGCUAAUGACGGUACCGUAAGAAUAAGCACCGGCUAACUACGUGCCAGCAGCCGCGGUAAUACGUAGGGUGCAAGCGUUAAUCGGAAUUACUGGGCGUAAAGCGUGCGCAGGCGGUUUUGUAAGACAGGCGUGAAAUCCCCGGGCUCAACCUGGGAACUGCAUUUGUGAGUGCAAGGCUAGAGUACGGCAGAGGGGGAUGGAAUUCCGCGUGUAGCAGUGAAAUGCGUAGAUAUGCGGAGGAACACCAAUGGCGAAGGCAAUCCCCUGGGCCUGUACUGACGCUCAUGCACGAAAGCGUGGGGAGCAAACAGGAUUAGAUACCCGGGUAGUCC
rnacentral:rRNA from 1 species